rnacentral:rRNA from 1 species
AUUGCCCCAGUAACGGCGAGUGAAGCGGCAACAGCUCAAAUUUGAAAUCUGGCCCCUAGGGCCCGAGUUGUAAUUUGCAGAGGAUGCUUUUGGCGAGGUGCCUUCCGAGUUCCCUGGAACGGGACGCCAUAGAGGGUGAGAGCCCCGUCUGGUUGGACGCCGAGCCUCUGUAAAGCUCCUUCGACGAGUCGAGUAGUUUGGGAAUGCUGCUCUAAAUGGGAGGUAUAUGUCUUCUAAAGCUAAAUAUUGGCCAGAGACCGAUAGCGCACAAGUAGAGUGAUCGAAAGAUGAAAAGCACUUUGAAAAGAGAGUUAAAUAGUACGUGAAAUUGUUGAAAGGGAAGCGCUUAUGACCAGACUUGGGCCCGGUGAAUCAUCCAGCGUUCUCGCUGGUGCACUUUGCCGGUGCCCAGGCCAGCAUCAGUUUGCCCCGGGGGAUAAAGGCUUUGGGAAUGUGGCUCCCCAGGGAGUGUUAUAGCCCAUUGCACAAUACCCUGUGGCGGACUGAGGUUCGCGCAUCUUGCAAGGAUGCUGGCGUAAUGGUCAUCAGCGACCCGUCUUGAAACACGGACCAAGGAGUCGUCUUCGUAUGCGAGUGUUCGGGUGUCAAACCCCUACGCGUAAUGAAAGUGAACGCAGGUGAGAGCUUCGGCGCAUCAUCGACCGAUCCUGAUGUUCUCGGAUGGAUUUGAGUAAGAGCAUACGGGGCCGGACCCGAAAGAAGGUGAACUAUGCCUGUAUAGGGUGAAGCCAGAGGAAACUCUGGUGGAGGCUCGCAGCGGUUCUGACGUGCAAAUCGAUCGUCAAAUAUGGGCAUGGGGGCGAAAGACUAAUCGAACCUUCUAGUAGCU